rnacentral:rRNA from 1 species
GAUGAACGCUGGCGGCGUGCCUAAUACAUGCAAGUCGAGCGAACAGACGAGGAGCUUGCUCCUCUGACGUUAGCGGCGGACGGGUGAGUAACACGUGGAUAACCUCCCUAUAAGACUGGGAAAACUUCGGGAAACCGGCGCUAACACCGGAGAAUAUAUUGAACCGCAGGGUUCAAUAGUGAAAGACGGCUUUGCUGUCACUUAUAGAGGGAUCCGCGCCGGAUUAGCUAGUUGCUAGGGUCAUGGCUUACCACGGCAACGAGGCGUAGCCGACCUGAUGGGGGGGUAGCCCACCCUGGAACUGAGCCACGGUCCAGGCUCCUACGGGAGGCAGCAGUAGGGAAUGUGCCGCAAUGGGCGAGAGCCUGACGGAGCAGCGCCGCGUGAGUGAUGGAGGUCUUCGGUGCGGAAAACUCUGUUACGAGGUGAGAACAAAUGUGUAAUGAGCUAUGCACGUCUUGACGGUACCGAGUCAGAAAGCCACGGCUAACUACGUG